UAAUACAACAUUAAUGUCAAGGGACAUUUAUUCCAUAAUGUCACAUUUAUUUAUUUCAAGGGACUUAUUUGAUUAUUCCACAUUUAUUUAUUUCAAGGGAUAUUUAUUUCAUGAUGACACAUCUGCAUCUGAUAUAUUCAAAUGAAUGGGGCGUGGUUAUCUCACAGUUUCAGACCAAAGCAACAGCAGCACUGAAUCACUGAAUUUGAAUAUAUGAGAAAGACGAGAAAAGUCCUGGUGGAUAGAAAGGAUAGUUGGCUACAUCGUCACUGCUCAUUGUUCAGAUGCGUGUGAUGUCUGACUCCAGAGCCAGACGUGGUGUGAUGGCAGGCAGGGGUUUCUGCCUUGGAGCAGAGCAGGGCAUCAGCGCCGGUGAAUGUGCUGACCCAAGGGCAGAACCAGGGACGAUGGGCAGGGGGCCGACGUGGGAGAAUCUGUAGUGCCAGGCUCCACCGGCACAGGAGCACUGCUGUGCAUUACUCUCCUCCACCCUCCACGCCAGCUUCCCCCAUAGGUCCCCCCAAAAAACUCUUUAGAGAGGUCUCCGGGCGGAGGGCAGAUAUGACCAGCUAGCAGCCCCCUGGCGGAAGGCUAUGGCCCUCAUAACGAGUGGGGCAAGCUCAUUGAGGCGCCUCUCCUGGUCUCCCAGUCGUCUCCAUGAAUCCACCGGGUACAUUUGUUCUGGUUGAGUCAUUCUGUCAUGAGUGGAGGUAAGCAGGACACAGGCGCUGAGUUAAUGGAACAACGAUGGCUUUAAUGAAAAUAAACUAGGGCAGGCGAGAAAACAACAAAACAACAGAAAUCAGGCAGGCUGGCAAAAACACACAAUGACUCAACAAAGGCUGAACAGAACUGGGCAGGCUAAAUAAGGAGUUAACAAGACAAGUGAAAACAAUAACGAAUUGAAGAACAAGCUAUUGUCAAGAACAAAGGACGAAAACGAGACAGAACAGGCUACAUUUAGGGACAACGGAAACAAAAGGGAACAAAAGAGAGUAUAUUUUUGGCCUCAAGAAUAUAUAUUUUUUGCCUCAUUUCUUUAUUUCAGGAUUCAUUUCAUAGCCAUAUUUAUUUAUUUAAUAGUGACUUAAACGGCAUUCCAUAGACUUCAAGCCUAAAAACCUCCACGAUUAGGCUGGCUUCUUUGAUGGUGUAAAGAAUUCACAACAGUUAUUUUUUAACUGCUUUUUUGCUAUUUUCACAAACUGGUACAUUUUUACAACUCUUAAUACAAAAAACAAUGGGUCAUCAAAAAGCAUUUUUCAAACUCUAACACUGUAAAAAUGAAACCUUUAGAUCUACUUACAAAAAUUAUGUUACAAUAUUACACACAUUAUAGAUGAGUAGAUAUGAAACCACUUCACCUUUUUCUUUACUUUCCAAAAAAGUAGAAAAGGAAGGUUUUGGGUGAGAAACAGAAGGGUUUAAAUGAAGAAACCACUGCAAAUUGAACGCUUCUGUUCAAUUGCAUGCAUGCAUAACAGGAUAGGAUGCAUUGACAGGAUAGUCCUAAUUUUGCAUGCUUUUCGUAGAUAACUGUAGGUCCUACUUAGAUUAUUUGUACUGUUAAACAGAGAAAUUGUUUACACACCGCAAAAAGAUCUGAAUUGAAUAUACCUAACUGAUGUACAGCGAUGUGUGAACUCAGUGUUUGAGGUAAUUCUCAGUAAAGGAAGUGGCACUUAACCAAAUGGUUUCUGGGUCCCUCAGAUAAGGAAACUGACACAGACGCAUGUUUCAUUCUGCCUUUAAAAAUGUUUUAUAUAUUUUUUACUGACCACAUUUUUUUGGAGAAGACCGAUAAGUUACUGCUCACUGUUACUCUACAAGAGUUCUUAACAAACCAUUUGACAAACAACGUGCCUUGGAAUUAAAGUUCCACCAGCAAGUGUGUGUUGCAAAUGGCACUCUUGAUACGGAAGCCUGUAUUAAAAAAGGCCAGAAGAAGCUUCCUUUGAACACCAAUCCACAUCCUCUUUAGUGGCAAGUAUUUUCAGUUGUAUCUGAUCAGGUAUGAAGCUGUGUUAGUGCAUAUGUGUGUGUCAUGAAUUAUGUUGUUCUCCCCUCUAAUGUCCCAUCUGUCUGCUGGAGUUUCUGAAGAAUGGGACUGUCUAUGUCUGUGGCUCCUACGCCUUUGACCCACAGUGUGCUUUCAUGGACCCUGCAACAUUCUCCCUGAUGAAGGAUGGUGACAAAGUGAAGAUGGUACAGGGAAAAGGAAAGUGUCCUUAUAACCCCAGGCAAAGUCACACAGCUGUUACUGCAGAUGGUGUACUGUUCACCACUGCCUGUUACAACUUCAUGUGUACAGAGUUUGACAUCAUCAGGGCAACAGAUCCACCAAAUCAACCAGUGCGCAUAUUCAAGUCUAUGAAAUUGCUCAAUGAUCCCUGGUUUGUGAGCUCUGCCCUGGUCAAGGAAAGCCACGGAGAAGAUAAGAUCUACUUUUUUUUCACUGACAUUGCAGGAGAGUAUAACCCCAAGGUCAGAGUCACACGGGUUGCCAGAGUUUGCAAGAGGGUAAUAGGGGGCUCUAAAAUCCUGCAGAACCGGUGGACCAGUUUCCUGAAGGCUCAGCUGGUGUGUAAGGAUCAGAACAAUGUCCGGAGCUACACCAUCCUGUCCCACGUCUACCCCCUGGAACACCGCGUCGGAGACCCCAGCAGCACACACUUCUACGCCCUGUUCACCUCCCACUCGGAAGGAGAACGUGUGUCAGCGGUGUGUGUGUACAGCCUGGCUGACAUCAGUAAACUGUUUGCAACUGGAGACUUCAGGGAUAUGAAAACGGGGUCCUCUGUGUCUGGGCCGACCCCCGACCUGGACAGUGUGAAUAUGAUAACCAGAUAGCCCAGGGUUACUACUCUCUCCGUAUGCCUGAAAUGGUGCUGCAGUUCAUCAAGGAACACCCGCUAAUGAGUCAAACUGUGGACACAGUUCCCCUUCUGGUGAGGUGGGGAAUCACAUACACCAGGAUCACAGCUGCCAACCGCUGUGUUAUACCUGGGCACGGGUGAGAAAGACGGGAGUGACCGAUGAUAGAGGGCGAGAGAGAAGUGAUUGAUGAUAAAGCAUGCAAGAGAAGGGACUGAUUAAUAAUAGAGGACGACAAGAGAGGGGAGGGAUUGAUGGAGGACAACAGAGAGGAAUAAUUGACAAUAAAGGACGAGAGAAAAUAGGGGGUAUGAGUUUAAGCCAUUGUGAUGUUGUGUGCAUUUUGUAGUGUUGGAGUUUUGUUUCAAUGUUUGUAACACAGAGUUGCACAGCAUUUCUGUUGUCGGUCGUAACGUCACUCUGCUAAAUGAGAUCGCCAUCACAAAUUUGGUGGAGCCCAUCAACAACAUCCUAAUACACCAGGGCCAUGCUUUGCUGGGCUCCCCCUCUGCUCUGUCCCGUGUCCUGGUGGAUGGGUGCGCCGUAUACCCCACCUGUGAGGUGUGUGCCUGGGCACAGGGUCUAGGCUGUGUGUGGGACGCCAAGGAAAGAGCGUGUGUGGCAAAGUCUACACAAUCUCCAGUACAAAAUAAAUCAGAGGACCCUUUGAAGGCGUGUGGCACUGGAGAGGGGCGUUGUUCCCCUUUGGUGAAGGAGCUGCAUGUGAGAGCGGGAUUGUUGGUCAUCCUGCCUUGCGUCAACCUCUCCCCUCUCCCCUGUGUCUGGGAGCACCCCGAGGGCCGCCACACAAUGCUGCUGCACUCCUACCUGAUGGUCACCGUCUCCAGAGACAACUUGGGUCUCUACUUCAGUCUCUGCCCAGCCCAGAGUGAUGGUUUCAGGGACAGCGAGCCCUGCCUCACAGCCUCCUUCCAGCAGAUCAUGGAGGAGACACAACCAGGGGGGUUGUUAGUAAUCUGUGUCAUGCUGGAGGUGCUGUUUGGAGCUUUAGUAUCCACUGUAUUUCUGAAGAGGCGGAGCUGUCGGAAACAACACAUCCCAUUGGAGGACAGAACGGAAGUGGAACCAAUCAGGGUCAGCCGGAGCGGGACUAUGAGAAUGAGUUGGUGAUGAGGGAUGCACCUCUGGGCUAAUCUGGGCAGAGAUUUAUUAUGUAUAGCUUGACUGACUUGUAUGAACAAAAUGUGUCCUAUUUUUAAUGGAACGUUACUAUAAAGAAGUAUAUUUAUUUUUAUAUUUCAUAUCACAAUUUUAUAAUGUAAAAAGUGUCAUUUAAAUAUAUAUUUUUUAAAUUGGUCUUAGCUGAAAAUCUCCCUUAGGUGUUCAAUUGGGUUGAAAUGUGAUGACUGUGAAGGCCAUAGCAUAUGAUUCACAUCAUUUUCAUUAACGUCAAACUAUUUAGUGAUAUACAGGUUUUGGUCAUAAAAUAUGAA